rnacentral:rRNA from 1 species
GUAAUCAAAAGUUUAUUUAUUGUAAACCUGUAUGAAGGAUUAAAUCUAUAGCUUCUUUUAUUUCUUCAAACAUGAAUUUACAGAAAAAUAAAAAUAAUUUCUUUGGAGGUAGACGAGAAGACCCUAAAAGCUAAUUAUUGUUAAUUUUUUGGGGAAAAUAAUAUUUAUAUUCUAAUAAUAAAAUUAUGGAAAAACUUAAAAAUAAGCUACUUUAGGGAUAACAGAGUAAUUUUUUUUAAAGAACUCAUUAAAUUAAAAGAUUACGACCUCGAUGUUGGAUUCCUAGGUCUUUGUAUCGCAGCAGGUACAAAAGAAUAGACUGUUCGUUUUUUUAACUAGG